AUCGAACGCUGGCGGCAGGCCUAACACAUGCAAGUCGAGCGAGCGGCGGACGGGUGAGUAAUGUAGGGGGACUGCCCGAAAGAGGGGGAUAAGUACUGGAAAAGGUAGCGAAUACCGCAUACUAUCGGAUAACCCAUAUGGGAUUAGCUAGUAGGUGGGGUAAUGGCCCACCUAGGCGACGAUCCCUAGCGGGUCUGAGAGGAUGAUCAGCCACACUGGGACUGAGACACGGCCCAGACUCCUACGGAGGCAGCAGUGGGGAAUAUUGCACAAUGGACGCAAGCCUGAUGCAGCCAUGCCGCGUGUAUGAAGAAGGCCCUAGGAUUGUAAAGUACUUUCAGUCGGGAAGCGUUACCGACAGAAGAAGCCCCGGCUAACUCCGUGCCAGCAGCCGCGGUAAUAC
rnacentral:rRNA from 1 species